AGAGUUUGAUCCUGGCUCAGAUUGAACGCUGGCGGCAUGCCUUACACAUGCAAGUCGAACGGCAGCACGGGAGCAAUCCUGGUGGCGAGUGGCGAACGGGUGAGUAAUAUAUCGGAACGUGCCCAGUCGUGGGGGAUAACGCAGCGAAAGCUGUGCUAAUACCGCAUACGAUCUCUGGAUGAAAGCGGGGGACUCGCAAGGGCCUCGCGCGAUUGGAGCGGCCGAUAUCAGAUUAGCUAGUUGGUGGGGUAAAAGCCCACCAAGGCGACGAUCUGUAGCUGGUCUGAGAGGACGACCAGCCACACUGGAACUGAGACACGGUCCAGACUCCUACGGGAGGCAGCAGUGUUUUUUUUUUGUUCUAUGGGCGCAAGCCUGAUCCAGCCAUGCCGCGUGCAGGAUGAAGGCCUUCGGGUU
rnacentral:rRNA from 1 species